CUACGGGUCGCUGCAGGCGCGAAAACUUUACAAUGCAGGAAACUGUGAUAAGGGAACCCCGAGUGCCCGUACACGCGGGCUGUCUGGGUGUUUAAAAUGCACCCAAAGAAAGGGCCGGGCAAGACCGGUGCCAGCCGCCGCGGUAAUACCGGCGGCUCGAGUGGUGACCACUUUUAUUGGGCUUAAAGCGUUCGUAGCUGGACUGCUAAGUCCCUUGGGAAAUCCGCCGGCUUAACCGGCGGGCGUCUGAGGGAUACUGGCAGUCUUGGGACCGGGAGAGGUAAGAGGUACUCCGGGGGUAGGAGUGAAAUCCUGUAAUCCCCGGGGGACCACCGGUGGCGAAGGCGUCUUACCAGAACGGCUCCGACAGUGAGGAACGAAAGCUGGGGGAGCGAACCGGAUUAGAUACCCUUGUAGUC
rnacentral:rRNA from 1 species